UACAGAGGGUGCAAGCGUUUGUUCGGAAUUAUUGGGCGUAAAGCGCGUGUAGGCGGCUUUGCAAGUCGGGUGUGAAAGCCCUCAGCUUAACUGAGGAAGUGCGCCCGAAACUGCAGAGCUUGAAUACCGGAGAGGAUGGCGGAAUUCCCCAAGUAGAGGUGAAAUUCGUAGAUAUGGGGAGGAACACCGGUGGCGAAGGCGGCCAUCUGGACGGCUAUUGACGCUGAGACGCGAAAAGCGUGGGGAGCAAACAGG
rnacentral:rRNA from 1 species